rnacentral:rRNA from 1 species
GAAUUUUAUAUAAUUUUUUAUAAAAAAAUAAAUUAUUUGAUGUAGAAAUUAAAAAAUUAUAUUUUAUUGGGAGGAUAAAUAAAUUAAUGAAACUUUUUUAUAUAGAUUAAUAAACAUAGAUAUAUGAAUAAUAGAUUAAUUUUUUAAAAUAUAAAAAUUAAAUUAGAAUUAAUUACCUUAGGGAUAACAGCGUAAAAUUUUUAGAGAGAUCAUAUUUAUAAAAAUGUUUGC